rnacentral:lncRNA from 1 species
CUUCUCUCCCGUUUCUGGUAACGCUUGCAAAGAAGGAAACAUUGCUGUAGCUUCUUGCUUGGGGCAUGGACAGACCUGGAAGUUGUGUCAGCCAUGAAGGUCAAUGGACAUAUCUGUGAGGAUGUGGCUGGAGGUACUUGGAGAAGGAGAAAGCACGAAAACCACUCCUCCUUGUGUGUACAUCUAUAUCCAGAGGAUACUUCAGAAAUGAUGGAUUGAGGCACACACGUAAUGACCUGUUCCAGUCAGGAACUGAGACAGCCUCAAAGGGAGCUGCCGACGAGAUCUAUGGAAUGGGACAUGUGAGUGUAUACAAGAGCAGUGUUGGUACAAUUUUGCACGUGUAUCUUCCUGCCAGAAAGUUAAAAAAAAUU